rnacentral:lncRNA from 10 species
GCCCAUGCCCUCCUCCUCCCCAAGGGACCUGAGGGUUUUGAGAAUAGGGGGACCUUCCUCCAAAACCUGAGCUCUUAACUAGCCCCUCAUAGCUGCCUUUUUAAGACCUUGUGAGUCUGUAGAUUGAGUGGCUUGGCUGUGUUCCAGGUUGCAGUUUGGCCUGGGUUGACUGCAGGCUUUGACUUGGACUCAAUCUGCUCCUAAGACCAACAGCUGUUCUGGGCAUGUUUUCAUGGCAGCUACUCACAUUGGGGAGGGCCAUUGGCUUUACUCUGUCUACCCAUUCAGAUGUGAAUGGCAGAGGCCAGCUUGGAAGCCAGGCAGCCUGAUCCCCAGGGUCUCUGCCCUCCCACCAAGCUGGCAUCUCGCCUGGUUUCAUCCAAUCAGAAUGUCAAUAUUUGUUUCUAAACAGACAGCCAGUUAACCUGUGUCCUCCAGAGGAUUCACUUUUGAGGGACCUUCUGAAAUGUAUUGGGUAAAUUAUGUAGCAAUCUAAAUCAUUCAGCCGUCCAUUUCCUUAUGCAGUCAGCCCAGUGCUGAACACACAAAC